UUUUCCUAGUGGAAGAGAACAGCAUGUAGGUGAACUUGAGGCUGGAGGGAGGGGAGGGAUGCAAGCCAGUGGGCAGCCCCAGUAAAUGCCCUUACAGACAUACCACACUGGAAGGAACCAACAAAGAGCUUAUUCACCUUCUACUUUGGAAUUGUAUCUUAGGCGGGUAAACCUGCCAAUUCCAUUUAUGACAUAAGCAGACUAGUUCUUAACUGUUCAUAACCCAACAGACAACAACUUGAAAAUAUAACACUUUGCAACACCUGCCCAGGCAGGAUGACUUCCAGCUCCUUAGAGAAGCAUGAGGCAUCAAACGAGUGGGCCAUUCAGAAACUAACCGUCCAAAACGAACAGACACGUGAGCCCAAGACGCCUCCAGCCUCUCGAUUAGUAUCUAAACCGCCUUCCGUUGCGGCACUUCAGCAUUUAGCGUGGCAGCCGCUGACGAGGCCCAGCACGAGAGCCGGCCCGACUCCCACUCCUGACAGUGACCCCAGCUACCUCUGCAGUCACAUCUCCCUGUUUUCCACACUUCACUCUACAACUCGUGUCACUGGUGUCCAGGUGCUGGGAGUAGGGCCUGCCAGGUUAAAUAAGAGAUGCCCAGUUAAAUGUAAUUUCAGGUAAGAAAUGAUGAUUUUUUUUGGGGGGGGGGGGGAUAAAGAUGUCAAAAUACUGCAAAGCACAUACUUAUUCUAAAGUACUUGCCGUUUAUAUGAAAUUCAAAUUUAGCUGGGUGUCUUGUAUGUGUAUUUGCUAAAUCUGGCAAUUAUUUUAGCUGCAUAGUCCCUCAGGAUUCCUAUCAAAACGUAAUACAGAAAUACUCACUGGGAAUAGUUACAGAAGCAAGAGCUCCCACCCAGCGUCUUCUAAACUUCUUCCUCUGGUUGAUGUACUGUAAGAGACUACAGGACAGGUAAGUCAGCAAGAGUAGGACAAGAAAUCUUUACUGUUACAGGAAGGCAAAGGCAUCCCAAAACGAAAGCCGCUACGUUCUCACUUGAACGCGGCCUGAGGAUGCUUUGUACAAGACAGAGAGCUCUCCCUCUCAGUCCCUGCUGCAAUGGAAAAGAUACGAAAAAGGAAGAGACUUGUACUUUGAGAGGUACUAGGCCCCUUUCACAACUGUGAUUAGACAUUUUGAAGCAUUUUAAUAUUAACAAAAAGCCCAAAGUAGGAUUUGCUAAACUCAACUGGCCAGUUACUGAUUUAGCAUUAGAAUUUGCAGCUGUUUAUCUAAACUCCGUACCACAUGCCUUCCGCUCAGGGCUCACUAUUCUCCACUUCUUUCUUCUCAGCGCAGGACUUUCUCGUUUGCCUCAUAGACCAUAACCGACCCCCUCGUGAGAGGGAACAAGCUAGCGAGGAACAGAACGAGGAAUCCUACAGCUUUCCCCACUUGCCAAAAACAGAGCUCCUCUGGAAACCAAAAGAAAGUGUUGUUAUUUCUUACCUGUCGAUGACUAAGUUUCCAUCAUUGUUGCGGAUCCCUGCCCACAUGUCCCACAGCUCACUCUCAGAGGGGCGGGUGUACGGCCCAAAGACUGGGGUGAGACUGAAAGGGCCCGAAAGAGCAGAAAGACACAGGUGAAUGUUAAAGAAUCCAGAAUGUUAAAUAUGACUGGAACCCCACAGGUCACAGCGUCUGACCCUUAACUGAUUUGUGAAUCCCUUCUACCGCUUCCCUGGCAAAUGGCCAACAUCUGUGUUUUAAAAUAUCAAACCCUGGCCCAGAAUUUUAACGGCAACUUUUCACUACAUUGUUCCCAGGCUAUAGCGAAUCAAUAAUGACUUACCCUCGGGAGAAUACAAAGAAGUUCAUCAAUCGUGUCAGGAUGGGUGACAGCACGCCUCCAUCUUUGAGGAGCUGUAGGUGAAGAGUCAAUGAGAGAAAGCCAUGAGCAUCACUGAUAAAGGGAGAGACUCCCGUCCAAAUCUGCCCUUCUGGUAUUCAGGGGACAUCUGGAUAUUCAUGGACGUACAAGUCAGGCUCAAUGGCACACAAGGAAAAAGAACCCCCUCCAAAAGAUUGAAGCAAAGGUUCAGUAAUUUCUAAGUGAAACCUGGCAUUACCAUCAAUUAAGAGUUUUUGGGGGGCGCUGGGGUGGCUCAGUCAGUUGAGCAUCUGACUCUGGAUUUCAGCUCAGGUCAUGAUCUCACUGUUUGUGAGAUGGAGCUUUGCAUUGUCAACCACGGAGCCUGCUUGGGGUUCUCUUUCCAAAAUAAAUAAAAAUAAACAUUUUUUGAAAGAUUAAGAGUUUCUGGAACAAACCACAGGGUAUCAGGAGCGCCUGUGGUUUCAUCACAACUAUCUGCAUAACCCACUGCAGCGAGUGCUCUCCUCACGACCAACCGUGGUUGUUGCUAGACCUACC